rnacentral:misc_RNA from 1 species
AUUAUAUAAAAGUGAUAUUGAGCCAUAACAAAUUAUAGACAAGAGCACUUGAGAUAGCGUAUUGAACUCAACAGAAUAAAAAAUGCAGCUCGUAAUGAAAUGCAUUGUCAUAAAGGAAUUAAACGAAUAGAUACAAACAGAUUAAAAAAGAAAAUUAGAAACAUUGAGUUGCGACUCAAUGCAUUUUUUUCAACUACAAAAAUGUUCAUUUUGUCAAUUUUCUGAUACUGGCACAUAGCUUAAAUCUCCGGCUUGCAGCAGUUUCUGCUUUCCUUACCUAUGUGACAACACAGUUGCGCAAACUGCUAUUAGGUUUUAUCAGAUCUUAUGCAAAUGAGCUAAGUUCCUUACCAACUCAAUAG